rnacentral:rRNA from 1 species
GACGAACGCUGGCGGCGUGCUUAACACAUGCAAGUCGAACGAUGAACCCGGAGCUUGCUCUGGGGGAUUAGUGGCGAACGGGUGAGUAACACGUGAGUAACCUGCCCUGGACUCUGUGAUAUGCGUUGGAAACGACGUCUCAUACCGGAUAGGACCUUGUAUCGCAUGAUCUGGGGUGGAAAGUUUUUUCGGUCUGGGAUGGCUUCGCGGCCUAUCAGCUUGUUGGUAAGGUAAUGGCGCACCAAGGCGUCGACGGGUAGCCCGCCUGAGCGGGAGACCGGCCACGGUCGGAAUGCGACAGGGACCAGACAGUUGCGGGAGGCAGGAGAGGGGAGUAUUGCUGAAGGGGCGACAGCGUGAUGGAGCAGAGCGUCUUGGGGGAGGAAGGCCCUCGGGUUGGAAACGACUAUAAGUAGGGAAGAAUGUGCACGGCUUGACGGUACCUGAACAGAAAGGACCGGCUAACUACGUG